rnacentral:miRNA from 2 species
AGUUGGGAUUUUUUAGAUCAGCAG